ACAACACAUAGAAAAGGAACACUUUAACUGUGGAGUGCUCCCAGUUUGGUUUGAUAUAUUCCAGCUCUGUGUCACACCUCUUUAUUACAUCAUGGCUGUCUCUGAGUGCAGAUCCAUUAAUCUGGUCAUUAUUUUUACUACAUUUUCUAUCAACAAAUCCAAAUUUUUCACCCUUUUUUUCCAGAGCUGACUGUUCAUAUUAAAUAAUACCUACACACUAUAUGCUCUAUGAAUGUACAUACAAAAAGCUGUUAAAACGUCAAACCACCAGCUUUACAAGAUAUUUAUUUAACUUUUAUUUUUUUAAUCCUCUUUAUUCCGACCUUUAGUCCCUCUGACAUGUUUGUAAUUGCAGAGCUCACACUCAGUCAGCUGUGUGUUGAUGAGAAUAGCCUCAAUUUGUGCAUUAAAAUGAGAGAAUAUGAAGAGGGUGAAUUUACCUCAAUUAUUAUUUAUUUGAUAAAGUCUUGUUUGUUUCAUUUUUAAGAAAAUCUUAGUAUUUUUCAUAGUAUGACAUAAUUGUUGUGAAUAAGGGGAAACAGAAAAUAAAGAAAGUAACAACAGUUCAUUUUGAAUCCAUCAUGUCUGAUUUGAUGUCAGUGUACCCACACAACUUGUUUUAACCUCCAUCAUGUUGAGUUCAGGUGUUUCAGGAGUUUCCAUUCUCUAAACUUGUUCAUUCUAAAUCUUCUUCAGCUCUGAACAUAUUAGAAGACAAUGUUGCUGUUUGAAAUCAUUCAGUGUUUAAUAAAGUCACAUCAUUUAUUCUUUAUUCAGAUUGUGGAGCUGCAGUUUGUCAGAGAUCAGCUGUGCUUCUCUGACUUUAGCUCUGAAGUCCAACCCCUCCCAUCUGAGAGUGCUGUGGCUGUUUGGAAACAACCUGAAGGAUUCAGACGUGAAGCUGCUGUGUGAUCUGAAGGAGAGUCCACACUGCAGACUGGAGACUCUGUGGUGGUCCUGAUCUCCAGUAAAGUCCAGUCCAGCAUGGUCCCUGUGUUCCUCUGAUGUGACAGAGUAUCAUCAGAGGAUGUGGACUGCUCUGCUGCUGCUCUGUCCUUCUCUCUGCAGACACACUGAGACUCCUCCACCUCCGUCUGUUGUUUCAUUCAUUCAUAUAAUCUGAACUCAGAGUUCCUCUGCACAUUAGUUCUCUUCAUGACAACAUGACUGUACAUCAACACAUUUAGAUGCAUAUUUCUGCUUUGUGUUCUGUUACAGCUCCACCCUGUGGAAUAAAGGGGAA